rnacentral:lncRNA from 1 species
AACAAGUAGUAAAAUAAUCAAUGUUCUUAUUUUAUUAAUUUGUAAACAUAAAUAGAAAAUACAAAAAAAAAUAUUAAUAAAUAUGAAAAACUAUAACAAGUAUUCCACAGCUGAAAAAAUGAUAGUGCAAAUAUUAGACAGUUCACUAAUAUAGAAGACUUAAGUUCUACAACAUAGAGGAUGAGAUAAUGACACAAUUCAUAACAGGUCACAACUCUAACACAACAGAUGAUAACCAGCAUCACUCCCUUGCACAAAACAAACAACUUCAUAUUUGUCAAAGUUAGUCAUCCAUCAAGUAUAGCCACACAUCCUCCAUAGGAUUUGAAUUGUCUUCAAGCUAUAUAUGUUUUUUUUUUUGUUCUUUAAUAUUAUUUUCUUCAAAUUUAACUUAACAAGUUUGAAAUUAUGAUGAUGUAAUAAAUAAAAUAGUGGAUGAGAGUAGGCUUGCAAUAUUAUCACACAUCUAUAAGAGUAUAUAAUGAAAUCAGAAAUACUCUCUGUAGUACUAGUUUUAUUCUCACUACCUUAUUCUAUCUUUUACAUAAUUGUAUUCUGAUAUGUAGUUUUUCAUUUUCUCAUUCAUCAAUAUGCUUAUACUACUACUAUCUUGCUCACUAUAUACCAUUUCAGACCAUAUUUCCAUAAUACCAUGUGUUUGUGACAAGGUUGUUCAACUGGCUUGCUUGUCCACUUGGUGUAUGAUCUUGGAAUUGGCAACAAAAAUGGUUAAAUUCUCGUACUUGUAGAUGAUUGUCUUAAUAUCUGAUUCAUGCAGGAACUUGACUAAACAGCACAUCAAAAUGAAUAUGUUGGAAGAAUAGUUCAUACAAACUGUAAAAUGAUAUUAAUAAAAAAAUGGCAUUACCACCAAGUUACAUAAUCACUAAUACAAUAUGUAGACAAAUAACAAUAAUAACAAAUUCGAUGAUGAUAACAAAUAAAAAAAGCAGCACAUGUUGAUAAUAUGAUGAUAGAUAAUUAUCUUUGUACAAGCACAGUAGAAAACUGAUGACACAGAUGAGAAGAUGUACUUAUAUAUAGAUGUGUUCUUGCCUCUAACACAGUCUAUUAUGAAGGUUAUUUAUAUAGUAAUAGAUUCAUAAUACAUGAAUUUACAUGCUGAUUACUGGCAAUCUCAAAUGGCAAUCUUGUGGCCAGUGGGAAUUCUACUUCUGCUUCCUGGUCUACCAUAUUGAUUUCUUCUAUACUACAGCAGAUAAUAUAUAAUUAAGAUGAAGCUCCAGGUAAUUUAUAGGUUUGUCCAGAAAGUAAUUUUGAUUUUUUCCCACAAGUGGCAUUAGUUGUAUUUUUAACCCACCAAUUUCAUUCUUAGCCAUAUUGUCGUCAUGCAUUUUGACAGCUGACAUUUCAAG